UGGGGAAUUUUGGACAAUGGGCGCAAGCCUGAUCCAGCCAUUCCGCGUGCAGGAUGAAGGCCCUCGGGUUGUAAACUGCUUUUGUACGGAACGAAACGGUCCGAGCUAAUACCUCGGGCUAAUGACGGUACCGUAAGAAUAAGCACCGGCUAACUACGUGCCAGCAGCCGCGGUAAUACGUAGGGUGCAAGCGUUAAUCGGAAUUACUGGGCGUAAAGCGUGCGCAGGCGGUUAUGUAAGACAGGUGUGAAAUCCCCGGGCUUAACCUGGGAACUGCAUUUGUGACUGCAUAGCUAGAGUACGGUAGAGGGGGAUGGAAUUCCGCGUGUAGCAGUGAAAUGCGUAGAUAUGCGGAGGAACACCGAUGGCGAAGGCAAUCCCCUGGACCUGUACUGACGCUCAUGCACGAAAGCGUGGGGAGCAAACAGGAUUAGAUACCCCGGUAGUCCCUGAGCGGGCUGGCAAGGCGCAU
rnacentral:rRNA from 1 species